rnacentral:sRNA from 1 species
UCUUUGCGUGAGGGAUAGUAGCGGCAUCCUUUUUUACGGCUCGUAAAGCCGUAAAAAAGAUAUAGCGUAUAGCCCGACCCUUG